rnacentral:rRNA from 1 species
CUCGAGUGGCGAACGGGUGAGUAACACGUGGGUGAUCUGCCCUGCACUUCGGGAUAAGCUUGGGAAACUGGGUCUAAUACCGGAUAGGAGCCAUCUUUAGUGUGGUGGUUGGAAAGUUUUUUCGGUGUAGGAUGAGCUCCCGGCCUAUCAGCUUGUUGGUGGGGUAAUGGCCUACCAAGGCGGCGACGGGUAGCCGGCCUGAGAGGGUGUACAGCCACAUUGGGACUGAGAUACGGCCCAGACUCCUACGGGAGGCAGCAGUGGGGAAUAUUGCACAAUGGGCGCAAGCCUGAUGCAGCGACGCCGCGUGGGGGAUGAAGGCCUUCGGGUUGUAAACUCCUUUCGCUAGGGACGAAGCUUUGUGUGACGGUACCUAGAUAAGAAGCACCGGCUAACUACGUGCCAGCAGCCGCGGUAAUACGUAGGGUGCGAGCGUUGUCCGGAAUUACUGGGCGUAAAGAGCUCGUAGGUGGUUUGUCGCGUCGUCUGUGAAAUUCUGGGGCUUAACUCCGGGCGUGCAGGCGAUACGGGCAUAACUUGAGUGCUGUAGGGGUAACUGGAAUUCCUGGUGUAGCGGUGAAAUGCGCAGAUAUCAGGAGGAACACCGAUGGCGAAGGCAGGUUACUGGGCAGUUACUGACGCUGAGGAGCGAAGGC